rnacentral:rRNA from 1 species
UACGUAGGUGGCAAGCGUUGUCCGGAAUUAUUGGGCGUAAAGCGCGCGCAGGCGGUCCUUUAAGUCUGAUGUGAAAGCCCACGGCUCAACCGUGGAGGGUCAUUGGAAACUGGGGGACUUGAGUGCAGAAGAGGAGAGUGGAAUUCCACGUGUAGCGGUGAAAUGCGUAGAGAUGUGGAGGAACACCAGUGGCGAAGGCGGCUCUCUAGUACGGUACUGACGCUGAGACGCGAAAGCGUGGGGAGCGAACAGG